GCAGGUGGCAAGCGUUGUCCGGAAUUAUUGGGCGUAAAGCGCGCGCAGGUGGUUCUUUAAGUCUGAUGUGAAAGCCCCCGGCUCAACCGGGGAGGGUCAUUGGAAACUGGGGAACUUGAGUGCAGGAGAGGAAAGUGGAAUUCCACGUGUAGCGGUGAAAUGCGUAGAUAUGUGGAGGAACACCAGUGGCGAAGGCGACUUUCUGGCCUGUAACUGACACUGAGGCGCGAAGGCGUGGGGAGCAAACAGGGAUUAGAUACCCUGGUAGUCCACGCCGUAAACGAUGAGUGCUAAGUGUUGGGGGGGUUUCCCGCCCCUCAGUGCUGCAGCUAACGCAUUAAGCACUCCGCCUGGGGAUACGGUCGCAAGACUG
rnacentral:rRNA from 1 species